GUAGGGAAUAUUGGUCAAUGGACGAAAGUCUGAACCAGCCAUUCCGCGUGCAGGAAGAAGAUUCUAUGGAUUGUAAACUGCUUUUAGCAGAGAAGAAACGCCUUCAUUGAUGAGGGUUUGACGGUAUCUGCGGAAUAAGCACCGGCUAACUCCGUGCCAGCAGCCGCGGUAAUACGGGGGGUGCAAGCGUUAUCCGGAAUCACUGGGUUUAAAGGGUGCGUAGGCGGGAAAUUAAGUCAGUGGUGAAAGUCUGUUGCUUAACGAUAGAAUUGCCGUGGAUACUGAUUUUCUUGAAUUGGGUUGAGGUUAGCGGAAUGUGACAUGUAGCGGUGAAAUGCAUAGAUAUGUCAUGGAACACCAAUUGCGAAGGCAGCUAGCUGGGCCUUGAUUGACGCUGAGGCACGAAAGCGUGGGGAGCGAACAGGAUUAGAAACCCGUGUAGUCC
rnacentral:rRNA from 1 species